ACGGGAGGCAGCAGUGAGGAAUAUUGGUCAAUGGGCGGAAGCCUGAACCAGCCAUGCCGCGUGCAGGAAUAAGGCCCUAUGGGUCGUAAACUGCUUUUGCCUGGGAGCAAUAAGGUCUACGUGUAGGCCGAUGAGAGUACCAGGCGAAUAAGCAUCGGCUAACUCCGUGCCAGCAGCCGCGGUAAUACGGAGGAUGCGAGCGUUAUCCGGAUUUAUUGGGUUUAAAGGGUGCGUAGGCUGUUCGUCAAGUCAGCGGUGAAAUGCCGGGGCUCAACCCCGGAGCUGCCGUUGAUACUGUCGGGCUUGAGUACUGUUGCCGUGGGAGGAAUGAGUAGUGUAGCGGUGAAAUGCAUAGAUAUUACUCAGAACACCGAUUGCGAAGGCAUCUCACGAAGCAGCGAUUGACGCUGAGGCACGAAAGCGUGGGGAUCAAACAGGAUUAGAUACCCUGGUA
rnacentral:rRNA from 1 species